ACUCCUACGGGAGGCAGCAGUGGGGAAUAUUGCACAAUGGGGAAACCCUGAUGCAGCCAUGCCGCGUGUGUGAAGAAGGCCUUCGGUUGUAAAGCACUUUCAGUAGGGAGGAAGGUAGUGUAGUUAACACCUGCACUAUUUGACGUUACCUACAGAAGAAGCACCGGCUAACUCCGUGCCAGCAGCCGCGGUAAUACGGAGGGUGCGAGCGUUAAUCGGAAUUACUGGGCGUAAAGCGCAUGCAGGCGGCCUGUUAAGUCAGAUGUGAAAGCCCGGGGCUUAACCUCGGAAUUGCAUUUGAAACUGGCAGGCUAGAGUCUUGUAGAGGGGGUAG
rnacentral:rRNA from 1 species